UACGUAGGUGGCAAGCGUUGUCCGGAUUUAUUGGGUUUAAAGGGUGCGUAGGCGGUCCUAUAAGUCAGUGCUGAAAUAUCCCGGCUUAACCGGGAGGGUGGCAUUGAUACUGCAGGACUUGAGUAAAGUUGAGGUUGGCGGAAUUGACGGUGUAGCGGUGAAAUGCUUAGAUAUCAGGAGGAACACCGGUGGCGAAGGCGGUUCUCUGGGCAUUACCUGACGCUGAGGAGCGAAAGUGUGGGGAGCGAACAGG
rnacentral:rRNA from 1 species